GGCUCAGAACGAACGCUGGCGGCAGGCUUAACACAUGCAAGUCGAGCGCCCCGCAAGGGGAGCGGCAGACGGGUGAGUAACGCGUGGGAAUCUACCCUUGACUACGGAAUAACGCAGGGAAACUUGUGCUAAUACCGUAUGUGUCCUUCGGGAGAAAGAUUUAUCGGUCAAGGAUGAGCCCGCGUUGGAUUAGCUAGUUGGUGGGGUAAAGGCCUACCAAGGCGACGAUCCAUAGCUGGUCUGAGAGGAUGAUCAGCCACAUUGGGACUGAGACACGGCCCAAACUCCUACGGGAGGCAGCAGUGGGGAAUAUUGGWCAAUGGGCGCAAGCCUGAUCCAGCCAUGCCGCGUGAGUGAUGAAGGCCCUAGGGUUGUAAAGCUCUUUCACCGGAGAAGAUAAU
rnacentral:rRNA from 1 species